GACGAACGCUGGCGGCGUGCUUAACACAUGCAAGUCGAACGGAAAGGCCCCUUUGGGGUUACCCGAGUGGGGAACGGGGGAGUAACACUUGAGUAACCUCCCCUUGCUUCCGGGAUAACUUCAGGAAACAGGGGCUAAUACCGAAUGGGAACCCUUGCUCCAUGGGGGGGGUGGGAAAGCUUCGGCGGUUUUGGAUGGACUCGCGGCUUAUCAGCUUGUUGGUGGGGUAGUGGCUUACCAAGGCUUUGACGGGUAGCCGGCCUGAGAGGGCGACCGGCCACAUUGGGACUGAGAUACGGCCCAGACUCCUACGGGAGGCAGCAGUGGGGAAUAUUGCACAAUGGGCGGAAGCCUGAUGCAGCAACGCCGCGUGCGGGAUGACGGCCUUCGGGUUGUAAACCGCUUUCAGCAGGGGCGAAGCUUGUGGUGACGGUACCUGCAGAAGAAGCACCGGCUAACUACGUG
rnacentral:rRNA from 1 species